CUAAUUCCUAGGAAGCGCAUCUUUUGAGUUUUUUCGCUGCUUCCCCCUUUGUUGCUGGUGCUCACCUUUGUUCUUGCUGCUCCCGCGCGCUACUCUCUUCUCCAUCUUCUCUUCUCUGCCCACUCCACUUUCUCUUCAUUUCACAGUUAAACACUCGCACCAAUCUCGCAAUUAUCUCCACUCCACCGGCGACGACCUCGACAAGAAGAACCACCAUUGCGCAAUUGUCUCCACUCGACCGGCAAUGACUUCAAUUGAUUUCGAUUUGGGGUUUUAAUUGCUUGUUACUCCUUCCUGCAAGCUUCUGCUUCUACUCACCCACCAUCCUUCUUAGCUCGCUACGCGCUCCUGGUUAUGCUCAUCAAAUACCGAAUUACCCAAGCGCGAUGACCACAUCAUUUGCACAGCCUUCUGGAAUUUCUCUAUCUCCAGGUUUUCACAACUCCAAGGGAGGGGCCGUUUACCAAAGAGGAGUUGGAUGAAGUUCGAGACAAGUGCGCUACUUACUUCAACGAUUGUGAAUUUCCCUCAGUGUAAUAAAUAGAGCAGGCUUGUAGUUAUCCGUGAUUCUUACAUUAUUUUGUUAUUUAUCGAUUUAAUUAAUUACAUUUGAAUUAAUUCGGUAUUAUUAUUGGAAAUUUGAAAUUUAUAUCAUUUUGAGGAAUGUCAAGAUGAUGUUUGGUGAAACAGUAUUCUAUAAAUUAUAAUGCAGAAUUUUAUAUUGCAAAA